rnacentral:lncRNA from 1 species
GCUCUCCUUACUGGACUUGUGAGGCAUCGCCUCGACAAAGAAACAAGGGAGAGAUGUCCGCCUCAUAGCCCCUGCGUUAGCGCGCACGUGCUCCAGCUUCGGCCCUGACAUGCAGUGAAGGAAAGUCCGGUCUGGAUGCAACGUCUUCCGUCAGAUACAUCACCCGGCCCAGCCUCGUCAACGCGCCAAGCACGUCUGUAGAACGACAAAUAAGUUGUGAUCGGAGCACCGAUUAGCUUCACGAUAUCAAGACGGCCGCAAAAGAAAUACAAAUACCUGCGAUCUAUGAAUAGAAGUUAGAUGUCGAAGUCGAGAGCGUGGCGGCGAUGGCCGGCAUCCUCGUACUUGCGUCCGCUCUCGCGUGAGGCGUCGCCGUCAUCGAAGCAGCGGGCCACCAUCGACUCCGGCAGUUGCGCUACAGCAUCUGCGUUUAGCCAAGCGCGUGCAAGAUCGCGGCGCUGCAGCACAACCUCGUCUAGUCCAGUCGGUGGUCCAUGUCGCCGCACCUCUGCAUGUGCUCUGGCGGUUGUCAGCGACCGACAAUCGUACACACCCGUCAUGCUGCCGCCGCCGUUCGUCGAGUCGCCAUGGAAGGCCACGGAUAGUAGGAUCCUUCG